rnacentral:lncRNA from 10 species
CACAGCUCUAACUUUGAUGCCUUUAUCACUCUCAGAAGCUGCCCAUGGCCCUGUUAGUUCAGCCCUAUUCAAUGUUGAUGUUCCUCUCCUGGAUUCUGCUCCAUGGAAACAGAUCCCCUGAGUACUAAUCCAUGCAAGAAAACAAAUGGAAGUAAAUGUGGAAAUCAAAGGGAUAACUCAAGUUAAAUCACCCAUCCACAUUUUCACUAACUAUACAAACUGAUGAGGUUAUGCAUUUAGCUAAUAUGCAUGUAGCUAGCUACUUCUGAUCAAGUUAAUUUACCUGACAAUCUCUUUUGUUAUAUUAUUAAAUCAUGCUCACUUGCUGUGGCAUAGUCUCUCCUAGUUACCACUACUUUUUUUUUAUAUCCCAUGUAUAAAUAUUACAUUUUAAUAAAAAACGCAUGUCAAGAAACAAGCUCAAUUCAGAGGCAACUGGGAUUAUCAGGAGAUACAGUCAUAAGUAUGUUCCUGGUAACAAAUCUAGUAAGGAUUUUCAAUCAAAUCUGGCUUCUUCUACCACAGACACCUUUAUUUACACAAUAUCUUAAUUUAUUACUUCAAUUUACUUGCUGGUCUGUUUUAUUUGUAGGCUUAGUCUAAUUUUAACACUGUCAAGAAUAAUUCACAGAGUAUCAGGUGAGUCUGCUUAGAAGAGGGAACCUACGUUAAUCUUUUCUGACAUUAAUAGAAUUGGACCUUAUUAAUUCUGACAUGAUUUAUUUCAUAUCGUGUAAAUACUAAAUGCAAGCAUCAUGUUCUCAUUGAAACAAGUGUUUUACAUGCUUCAUAUACUGCAAUUUGCAACAUGAAUUGAAAAUGAGCCUUGAAAACCAUUUGAAAUGACUUAAUUCUUGUCAAACUUAGAAAGAUUAUUACUGCCAAAUGGGAAACACGAAAUGCUGACAAACAGUGCUCCAGGACGUCACUGGGAAGAAAGAGAGCAAAGGCAUGCACAGCCUGCGGGGCUUGCCAAUAUCACUCAGGCAGAUAUUCUUCUUACGUUAACAAAAAUUAUUCCCAAUAGAGAUACACCUGCUUAAUGCAUAUUUAUUUUUUUAUUUUAUGUACGGAGAACUGAAGUUCCAAUACAAUCAUGUUUGAGUUUUGUUGUUGCUUUGUUUUGUUUUUGUUUUUUCAUCAGGGAAGAUAUUCUCGAGUAUAAUUGUCAGGGACGAUGCAACUUGGGUGUGCCUGGAGCGGGUAAGAAAAAUGAUGCAGGGACAUGGAUGAACCUGGAAAC